rnacentral:tRNA from 2 species
AGCUCCGUGGUGUAUAGGCUCAUUGAAUUGCAAAUUCAAAGGCGCAGGCUAAUUACCUGCCGGGGCUU